rnacentral:rRNA from 1 species
AGAGUUUGAUCAUGGCUCAGGAUGAACGCUAGCUACAGGCUUAACACAUGCAAGUCGGGGGGCGAGCAUGUUGGUUGCUUGCAACCAACGAUGGCGACCGGCGCACGGGUGAGUAACGCGUAUCCAACCUACCCUUGUCCAUCGGAUAACCCGUCGAAAGGCGGCCUAACACGAUAUGCGGUUCACAGCAGGCAUCUAACGUGAACGAAAUGUAAAGGAGAAGGAUGGGGAUGCGUCUGAUUAGCUUGUUGGCGGGGUAACGGCCACCAAGGGCUACGAUCAGUAGGGGUUCUGAGAGGAAGGUCCCCCACAUUGGAACUGAGACACGGUCCAAACUCCACGGGAGCA